rnacentral:rRNA from 1 species
GUCCAAGUCGCAAUCACAUUUAUUGGGUCUAAAACAUUCGUAGCUUGCCUUGCCAGUCUCUUGUGAAAUCCCGCCUCUUAAGGGUGGAAGUGCGAGAGAUACUACAAGGCUAGAGACCGGGAGACGUAUUGAGUACUGUGGGAGUAGCGGUAAAAUGUGUUGAUCCUCACAGGACUAACAACAGCGAAGGCACGAUACGAGAACGGAUCUGACAGUGAGGAAUGAAGGCUAGGGGCGCAAAGUG